rnacentral:rRNA from 1 species
CGCCCGUACCGUAAACCGACACAGGUAGGCGGGGAGAGAAUCCUAAGGUGCGCGGGAAAACCCUCGUUAAGGAACUCGGCAAAUUGCAUCCGUAACCUAGGGAGAAGGAUGGCCCCCGGUCAGUGAAGAGCAGAAACGCUCAGAGCUAAAAGGGGCGGCAGAAAAGAGGCCCAAGCAACUGUUUACCAAAAACACAGGUGCCUGCGAAAGCGAAAGCUGAAGUAUAGGUGCUGACGCCUGCCCGGUGCCGGAAGGUUAAGGAGAGAAGUUAGCGAAAGCGAAGCAUCGAACUGAAGCCCCGGUGAACGGCGGCCGUAACUAUAACGGUCCUAAGGUAGCGAAAUUCCUUGUCGGGUAAGUUCCGACCCGCAUGAAAGGCGUAAUGAUUUGGGCACUGUCUCAACGAGGGGCCCGGUGAAAUUGAAAUACCUGUGAAGAUGCAGGUUACCCGCGACUGGACAGAAAGACCCCAUGGAGCUUCACUGCAGCUUGAGAUUGAAUCCCGGUGACAGAUGCACAGGAUAGGUGGGAGGCGUCGAAGCAUUGCCCUAGGGCGGUGCGGAGCCGAUGUUGGGAUACCACCCUUCUGUUGCUGAGAUUCUAACGCGAGGAGUAACGACCCUGCGGACCCUCUCAGGCAGGCGGUUUGACUGGGGCGGUCGCCUCCGAAAGAGUAACGGAGGCGCCCAAAGGUUCCCUCAGGCCGGACAGAAACCGGCCGAAGAGUGCAAAGGCAGAAGGGAGCUUGACUGCGAGACCAACAAGUCGAGCAGAGACGAAAGUCGGGCUUAGUGAUCCGGUGGUACUGGGUGGAAAGGCCAUCGCUCAACGGAUAAAAGCUACCCUGGGGAUAACAGGCUAAUCUCUCCCAAGAGUUCAUAUCGACGGGGAGGUUUGGCACCUCGAUGUCGGCUCAUCACAUCCUGGGGCUGGAGUAGGUCCCAAGGGUUGGGCUGUUCGCCCAUUAAAGUGGUACGCGAGCUGGGUUCAAAACGUCGUGAGACAGUUUGGUUCAUAUCCAUCGCGGGCGCAAGAAGUUUGAG